GAUGAACGCUAGCGGGAGGCCUAACACAUGCAAGCCGAGCGGUAUUGUUUCUUCGGAAAUGAGAGAGCGGCGUACGGGUGCGGAACACGUGUGCAACCUGCCUUUAUCUGGGGGAUAGCCUUUCGAAAGGAAGAUUAAUACUCCAUAAUAUAUUGAACGGCAUCGUUUGAUAUUGAAAGCUCCGGCGGAUAGAGAUGGGCACGCGCAAGAUUAGCUAGUUGGUGAGGUAACGGCUCACCAAGGCGAUGAUCUUUAGGGGGCCUGAGAGGGUGAUCCCCCACACUGGUACUGAGACACAGACCAGACUCCUACGGGAGGCAGCAGUGAGGAAUAUUGGUCAAUGGGUGCAAGCCUGAACCGGCCAUCCCGCGUGAAGGACGACUGCCCUAUGGGUUGUAAACUUCUUUUGUAUAGGGAUAAACCUACCCUCGUGAGGGUAGCUGAAGGUACUAUACGAAUAAGCACCGGCUAACUCCGUGCCAGCAGCCGCCGUAACAC
rnacentral:rRNA from 1 species